rnacentral:rRNA from 1 species
UACGUGAGGGUGCAAGCGUUUAUCCGGAAUUAUUGGGCGUAAAGAGCUCGUAGGCGGUUUGUCGCGUCUGCUGUGAAAACCCGAGGCUCAACCUCGGGCCUGCAGUGGGUACGGGCAGACGUAGAGUGCGGUAGGGGAGAUUGGAAUUCCUGGUGUAGCGGUGGAAUGCGCAGAUAUCAGGAGGAACACCGAUGGCGAAGGCAGAUCUCUGGGCCGUAACUGACGCUGAAGGCAGGACGAAAGCGUGGGGGAGCGAACAGG